ensembl:lncRNA
UGUCACGCCGGUGUCAGUCUGAUGAAGAUUGGCAUCAGGUUGAAACUGGAGUGGGACUCUGAGGCCGACCUCCAUGCCGCUCACCAGCAAAGGGACUGUGAACUGUGAGAAAAUUUAGGACCAGUAACGUGAAACGAUUUGUCCAUGGUCAUCAAGCUAAAAAGUGGAGUUAGAAUUUACUCAGCACAGAGGUACGGGACUUCCCUGGUAGUCCGAUGGUUAAGAAUCUGCCUGCCAAUGCAGGGGACGUGGGUUCGAUCCCUGGUCUCGGGAGAUCUCAUAUGCCACGGAGCAACUUCCGCAGCCAGGGCUCUCUAGAGCUAGUGCUCCCCAACGAGAGAAGCCACCACAGCGAGGAGCUGACGAAUCGCAACUACAGAGUAGCCCCUGCUUGCCGCAACUAGAGAAGGCCCAUGCACAGCAACAAAGACCCAGAGCAGCCAUAAAUAAAUGGAUGAAUAAAUAAAAAUUUUAAAAAACAGA